UUUAAAAGGUAGAUUCUCCUUCUAUGAUUACGUGCUUGAUGGUUAAUCAUAGAGGAAAAUCCACGUUUUCAG
rfam:Tupaia chinensis contig117313, whole genome shotgun sequence.